AUCCUACAGGAGGCAGCAGUGGGGGAUAUUGCACAAUGGGGGAAACCCUGAUGCAGCGACGCCGCGUGAGCGAUGAAGUAUUUCGGUAUGUAAAGCUCUAUCAGCAGGGAAGAAAAUGACGGUACCUGACUAAGAAGCCCCGGCUAACUACGUGCCAGCAGCCGCGGUAAUACGUAGGGGGCAAGCGUUAUCCGGAUUUACUGGGUGUAAAGGGAGCGUAGACGGCCAUGCAAGCCAGGGGUGAAAGCCCGGGGCCCAACCCCGGGACUGCCCUUGGAACUGCAUGGCUGGAGUGCGGGAGGGGG
rnacentral:rRNA from 1 species